rnacentral:misc_RNA from 1 species
AAUUGGACAUUCAUUUUUUCGAUUUGGGGAUGCCUUUGAAAAAUAUUGUAGAUAAUAGGAGCCCAUGACUAUGAGAGUCAUUAGCCAUCAAAUUAGACGAGGUUGUAGAUGUGCAAAAGUAAAUAUAAUAGGCGCAGACUGUAUAGGAUCUGUGUACUUGUAUGCUAGAUUGAAUCAGAUUUUACCUCGCUGGCAAUUUACAAUGGCAUCAACAAGCUUUUUUGCAAUUGAUAGAGUUGCAGUGGCCUCAACAAGGUUUUCAGCAAUUGAUAUUGUGAAAUGAAAUCUAGGUCAACAAAAUAUUAGACAUUCCCCUGUGGAACUGAUACAAGAUAGUAACCCAAGUUUAUUUGUAGAAUGGUUGAGUAUGUUGACACUUCACAGUUCACUCCUGUCUGGUGUAUUUCCUUCUCUCGAAUUCAUUCUCUUGAUUAUAUUUUGUUUCCCAUUUUAUCCAGUGAAGUGUGCUGAUCUGGCAGAGGAAUUAAAAUUUAUAAGAACUUGUAGACCAUAAACUGACUUUGUUAAAUGUGAUUUAUGUCACUCAAGCCAAUUAUACUUCUACUUAGGUUUUUUUAAAUCAACUAAUGUAAUUAAACCACAAAUCUAAGUAGAGAUUCCUGGCACUGCUGCCUGAUGAUAGUGUUCUACAUUUUCUAGGUCUUGUCAACAGACAUGAGC